UAUAGGCAGUGGCUUGGUUAAGGGAACCCACCGGAGUCGUAGCGAGAGUCAGUCUUCAUGGGGCAAUUGUCACUAUUCAUGAACCCGAACCUGGGUGAUCUAUCCAUGACCAAGAUGAAGCUUGGGUGAAACUAAGUGGAGGUUCAAACCGACUGAUGUUGAAAAAUCAGCGGAUGAGUCAUGGUUAGGGGUGAAAUGCCACUCGAACCCAAAUCUAGCUAG
rnacentral:ncRNA from 1 species